rnacentral:lncRNA from 1 species
UGGGGGUUCAUAGGGAUGUCUCUGCUAUGCGUGAACUUUUAUUCAACAUUUUCAAACUAACAGGUCGUCCUCAUACCUCGUCCGAUAUGAGCACCAAAAGAUAUCAUCCCUCAAUACUUCGUCCGGUAUGAGGGUGAAACAGGCCGUCCCCAUACCCCGUCUGGCAUGAACAUCAAAAUAUAAAUCCUCGAUACCCCGUCCGGUAUGAGAUAACAUUCACGGUAGGGUUCCCUAUAUAUUCAGUCCAUCCACCAUU